rnacentral:misc_RNA from 1 species
GAAGUUGAUUUUGGUGGGCAGUUGAUCAUGUGACAUCUGAUGCGUUAUUCAUGUGAUUGGCUCCCCAUAGUGCUAGGACUCUAUCGUACGCUGAAUAAAUGGCAGAUGAAAGGAUAGUUCCAUAUUUGUAUCUUUCCUAGAAAGGAAUGAAAGAGUUUUCUCUUCUCAAGUCUGUUGUCUCUCUUAUUUUCUGUUCUUGUGUCGCUUCUUCAAAUUCACGCAACAAAAUUCAACUUUAAUUCCUUAUCUUUGGCAAUGGUGACGAGAAGCUAAUCCUUUUCAUAUGCUGGAUUUGAAUGACACUCUCUGCCGGGAAAUAAGGCACUCAAACUAAUGAACUUUUUCUUACUGAUCAGUCACUCACUCUCCUUGGCUUAAUUCUAGUUACAGACUAUGUGGUUGUCCUGUCUGUUUAGAUAUCGACUGUUCACUGGGACCACCACCAGCCACCGUAAGAGGCAGCAGCAAAAGAACAAUCAUCAAAAUGUGGACAAACUGAUGUGCGUUUAUUUGCAAUUUAUACAACUAAAAUCUACAAGUUACAAUGUUAUAAGCACCCUGAUUGUUUUUCAUGUACACUAUUUCCAGCCACCUUGCUUGAGCUUAGAUUUGGUGGAACCUGUGACUGCAUCUCAGCAAAGCUCUCUAACUCUCAAUAAAAUGGGUUCAGGAAUCGGCAUUGAAGUAACAUUUUUUCGGGAAUUUAUCCCUUUAUUUGAAGAUAUCUGUGCAAGGCUAGCUUUCUGUAGAUUUCUCCAUUUACCCUUGAGAUCAACAGAGGUGCGAUACGAAUAGGAUGCAAAUGCAAGCCGUUUGAUCUCAGACCACCUUCCAGCCUCAUACCUAGAUACACCCUGAACUAGCUUCAUAACCUCAGAGAGAGUCCAAGCUAGAUGAUGUUUCCUUCUAAUUCCACCUUUGGAUGUGGGCAAAGAAACUACAUUAUCGUCUGAAUCCCCAGUUGAAUCUACUUGUUUCAGCACCUUAUGGCCCUUGACUGCACCUGUUGCUGAGAACUGUAUAUCUUUGUCUGGUACACCUAGGAACCUUUGCUGAACCUGUGCAGGGGCAGAUUGCACUUUCUCAUCAUUAUCUUGUAGAAAAUUAUGUGCACCAAGUGCCUCCUUUACCAGUGUAACUGUCAUGCCCAUCCUACUUGGAUUGAACUUCAGAAGAGCCAUGAAAUUUUUCCGCGGACGGCUUCCUCGAACCCGAGCACGUAGGCUAGAUAGGCACUAAUAGCUAUCAGCUUUCAAUUACUUAUGACCUGCGCACUUGGAAAUCCUAUCAAUGCAAAACGUCCGUGGCCAUAUUUUGUAACUUAAAAACCAUCUCCUCCACCGCUAGAACCCUGAUUCAAAAAGGCAACAGUAACCAAAUCUUCGAAAAAUCUAAAAGCAGUGGAAAUAAGCAUUAAAAAAACAAGAUAAUAACAAGAGCAGCAAAGUACAGUGAAAAUAUAUAAUUAAUACAAUCCACAAUAUGCCAUCAGCUAGAAAAAUCAACUCAACCACAGAUAGGAAAGGACAGAAAUGCACCAAAUUUGAGCAGUUUUGAAACUUCCCAGACAACCACAAUCAUAGUAUGUGUACCAAGACAAGAACUUACAAAGACAUGUUAAAUGCCAAGUAGCACCAACUCAGGUGGCUCAACUCCAACCAAUACACCUAAAUUGUACUAAAUCUACUGAGAACCUGUAACAAUUAUUGAAGAAUCACAGAAUUACACUAGCCCUGUUGCUGUCUAACAAUAACUGAGGAAGAAUUUGUUAUUCUUAAACAACUGAUACUCACUAAAGCUGUAAGACAAGCAUGAACUUUAAGAUCAGAAUUUAUGGAGGUAGGUCCCAUUACAAAUAGAAUCUCUAGUAGCUACUGUCUGAAAUGCAUACAAAGAGAAUGAUUUGGUAAAAUUUAGCAACCAAAAAGGUAGUCACUGCAUGCUAGCAUAACCACCAUAUUUUUCACAUGCCACUACCAUCUCAAACAUCAACAAAUGCAGAGGAAAUAAAAGAGUUGCAUACCUUAGGAGGCUCCAACAGUUGUGUCCUUAGCUUUGCUAUCUU